rnacentral:rRNA from 1 species
AUGGAAACCGAGGCCACCGGCGAGGAGGACGCGCGCGGCAACAAUGACGACGCCGCCGCCACCGAAGAAGAGGCCGGCGCUGAUGAACCCGCCGGCGAAGAGGCCGCCGAGGCUGCCGCCGCAGAAGCUGGCGAGGAAUCCGGCGGUCGCACUGACGGCCCCGAGGCCGCAGGAGCGCCAGGUGUUGCACCGACCGCCGAUACCUCUGCCGCUGCCGCGGCGACAGGCUCCGAAGAGCCCCAGCCCGGCGCCUACUUGAAGGCCGACGAUGGCGUCUUCAUCAAGCUCCCCUGGGCGUCGAGCUCCAGGGCGCCGGUCGAAGGGGAGACUUUUGACAAAGAGGUGCUCGCCUCUGCUGGGCUGGCGCUGGUCGACGCGCCAAGUAGCAGCAGCGACAAGCCUGAGGAGAAGCGGCUGCUGAGGAAGCUGCUGUCUCUUUACCGUGCCCGCCAAACCAAGCUGGCGUCCCGAGAAGCACUUGUCGCGAAGGCGGGGGUGGAUAUUGAGAAGCGCGCAGAGGAGCUCCGGGGACUUAGGCAGGAGGCUCUCCGGUCUCUGGCGGAGAAGCGGGAGCAACUUCUCGAGGAGCGGAAAGCCUUCCUCCUCGAGAAGGCUGAAGCCGAAGAGAAGCAACGGCUUGUCGUCGAGGAUCUAUUCACGCAAGAAGGAGAGUUGGCGCAGCGCAAGGUGAACCUUGACAGCCACGAGGAGGAGCUUGUCGCGCGGGAGCAAGCCAUUGGCGGGGCUCUCAAGGAGGCAAAGGAUGCUGCCGCAGCUGCCGAGGCCGCCAAGAAGGAGCUGGAGACAAAGGUGGCGCAGCUGGAAGCAGAUCUCAGGGCGAGCGGCGAGGAGCUUGCCGUGCUCAAGCAUGAGCGUGAGAAAGAUGCUGCCGCUCAUGGUGAGCUGCAGGGUCUUCUCGCAGAGAGGAGCAAGGAGCUCAGCGCCGCCAAGGAUUCCAACGCAGAUCUCGAGUUGAAGCUGGCCACCUUGACUCAGACGCUGGACGGCGCCAGGGAGCGGGAGGCGGCCUUGUCGGAGAAGAUCAAGGCCGACGAGGCGCUGCGGACGAAUGCUGUUGCCGCCCACGACACUUUCAGGGAGACAGUGGAGCAUUGGACUGAGGGUCUUGUGGAUCUUGCCGCCGCCAUCGACGGGAGCUGGCGCAGCUGGGGAUGGAGGAUUUUGGGUAUCCCUCCGACGAGCAUCUCCAACCCAGCGCCAAGCUUAGCCUGUUCUUCAAGGGCGUGGCGACGGCUCUCCAGCGACUCCGGGAAAAGAUUCCAAAGCAGUUGGCCGACGAGUCGCGCAGGAUCUGCGCAGGGGCUCUCCAGAAGGUGCUGA